rnacentral:rRNA from 1 species
AUGCUUAAGGACAAGGAAAGAUCCAUGAUGAGCUUUGGAAAUAGAAGGCAUCGGGAAGAAAUAUCGAACGGGGGAGCGGAUUCAAGUUGGUUCGUAUCUGAUCUGGUCACGUGCGCAAACCCUUGCGGUACACUAGAAUGCAGUAGUGGAGCUACGAACGAGCAAAACUAUGCAACUUUACGGAACCUUCCGGUACCUUCCAAAAAUGACCUGGGCGCUGCUAGUCACAUCCGGGACACUUCCGGCAUGCAAAACGCUCCUGAAACCACACGGAACUCUUUUGGAGUUAUUGUCUCUUUCUUCUAUAUCCUCUAG